AUUGAACGCUGGCGGCAGGCCUAACACAUGCAAGUCGAACGAGUGGCGGCCGGGUGAGUAAUGUCUGGGAAACUGCCCGAUGGAGGGGGAUAACUACUGGAAACGGUAGCUAAUACCGCAUCCCAACUGAUGUGCCCAGAUGAUAUUAGCUAGGAGGUGGGGUAACGGCUCACCUAGGCGACGAUCCCUAGCUGGUCUGAGAGGAGUACAAGCCACACUGGAACUGAGACACGGUCCAGAUGCCUACGGUAGGCAGCAGUGGGGAAUAUUGCACAAUGGGCGCAAGCCUGAUGCAGCCAUGACGCGUGUAUGAAGAAGGCCUUCGGGUUGUAAAGUACUUUCAGCGAGGAGGCGUUACUCGCAGAAGAAGCACCGGCUAACUCCGUGCCAGCAGCCGCGGUAAUUC
rnacentral:rRNA from 1 species